GACGUAGGGAGCGAGCGUUGUCCGGAUUCAUUGGGCGUAAAGGGUGCGUAGGUGGCGCGCUAAGUCGGGUGUGAAAUCUCGGGGCUUAACUCCGAAACUGCAUUCGAUACUGGCGUGCUUGAGGACUGGAGAGGAGACUGGAAUUCAUGGUGUAGCAGUGAAAUGCGUAGAGAUCAUGAGGAAGACCAGUGGCGAAGGCGGGUCUCUGGACAGUUCCUGACACUGAGGCACGAAGGCCAGGGGAGCAAACGGG
rnacentral:rRNA from 1 species